GUAGGUGGCAAGCGUUGUCCGGAAUUAUUGGGCGUAAAGCGCGCGCAGGCGGUUCUUUAAGUCUGAUGUGAAAGCCCACGGCUCAACCGUGGAGGGUCAUUGGAAACUGGAGAACUUGAGUACAGAAGAGGAGAGCGGAAUUCCACGUGUAGCGGUGAAAUGCGUAGAGAUGUGGAGGAACACCAGUGGCGAAGGCGGCUUUCUGGUCUGUAACUGACGCUGAGGCGCGAAAGCGUGGGGAGCAAACAGGAUUAGAUACCCUGGUAGUCCACGCCGUAAACGAUGAGUGCUAAGUGUUAGGGGGGUUUCCGCCCCCCUUAGUGCUGCAGCUAACGCAUUAAGCACUCCGCCUGGGAUACGGCCGCAAGGCUG
rnacentral:rRNA from 1 species